GAAAUGCGAUAAGUAGUGUGAAUUGCAGAAUUCAGUGAAUCAUCGAAUCUUUGAACGCACAUUGCGCCCCUUGGUAUUCCAUGGGGCAUGCCUGUUCGAGCGUCAUUUGUACCCUCAAGCUCUGCUUGGUGUUGGGUGUUUGUCCCCGUCUCCGCGCGUGGACUCGCCCCAAAGUGAUUGGCAGCCGGCGUACUGGUCCCGGAGCGCAGCACAUGUCGCGCAAACGAGUGCCUUGGUACGGCGGCGUCCAUAAGCCCCUCUCUCACGCUCUUGACCUCGGAUCAGGUAGGGAUACCCGCUGAACUUAAGA
rnacentral:misc_RNA from 1 species